AAUAAACGGUCGCGUGCUUUGCUCGAAAGGGCAUCGCAUGAGGAAAGUCCGAGCAUCACAGGGCAAGGAUAACGGCUAACGGCCGCCGAGGGUGACCUCAGGAAAAGUGCAACAGAGAUAUACCGCCCGUUCAGGAGGAUUUGUCCGAAUGAACGUGGUAAGGGUGGAAAGGCGAGGUAAGAGCUCACCGGUCAUUUUGGAGACAAAGUGACCCUGUAAACUCUAUCCGAUGCAACAUCGUGGUGGGACAUUACGCGGCUGCCCGUCGCGUCCCGUGGAGAUGGCUGGAGCUGUGCAGCAAUGUACAGUCGAGAUAGAUGACCGUUCACGACAGAACUCGGCUUACAGUUCUGCUCAU
rnacentral:RNase_P_RNA from 1 species